rnacentral:rRNA from 1 species
CCCGGGUCUUGUACACACCGCCCGUCACACCAUGGGGGCGGGAUGUACCAGAAGUAGGUAGGCUGACCGCAAGGGGGCCGCUUACCACGGUGCGUUUCGUGACUGGGGUG